rnacentral:rRNA from 1 species
UACGAAGGGUGCAAGCGUUACUCGGAAUUACUGGGCGUAAAGCGUGCGCAGGCGGUUUUGUAAGUCAGAUGUGAAAUCCCCCGGGCUUAACCUGGGAACUGCGUUUGAAACUACAAGGCUAGAGUGUGGCAGAGGGGGGUGGAAUUCCACGUGUAGCAGGUGAAAUGCGUAGGGAUGUGGAGGAACACCGAUGGCGGAAGGCAGCCCC